GCUGGCGGCAGGUCUAACACAUGCAAGUCCGAGCGGCAGCGGGAAAGUNAGCUUGCUACUUUUGCCGGCGAGCGGCGGACGGGUGAGUAAUGCCUGGGAAAUUGCCCAGUCGAGGGGGAUAACAGUUGGAAACGACUGCUAAUACCGCAUACGCCCUACGGGGGAAAGCAGGGGACCUUCGGGCCUUGCGCGAUUGGAUAUGCCCAGGUGGGAUUAGCUGGUUGGUGAGGUAAUGGCUCACCAAGGCGACGAUCCCUAGCUGGUCUGAGAGGAUGAUCAGCCACACUGGAACUGAGACACGGUCCAGACUCCUACGGGAGGCAGCAGUGGGGAAUAUUGCACAAUGGGGGAAACCCUGAUGCAGCCAUGCCGCGUGUGUGAAGAAGGCCUUCGGGUUGUAAAGCACUUUCAGCGAGGAGGAAAGGUCAGUAGCUAAUAUCUGCUGGCUGUGACGUUACUCGCAGAAGAAGCACCGGCUAACUCCGUGCCAGCAGCCGCGGNAAUACGGAGGGUGCAAGCGUUAAUCGGAAUUUACUGGGCGUAAAGCGCACGCACGCGGUUGGA
rnacentral:rRNA from 1 species